CCUGGACAGAGUCCACAAGGCCGAGUUGAAGCUGAGGUCUAAAGGAUUGUGGGACGUGCCACAUCCUUGGCUCAACCUCUUUGUCCCCAAAUCAAGGAUUGCUGAUUUCGAUAAGGGAGUCUUCAAGGGCAUUUUGGGCAAUAAAACAAGUGGACCCAUUCUUAUUUACCCCAUGAACAGAAACAAGUGGGACCAGAGGAGCUC
rnacentral:misc_RNA from 1 species